rnacentral:rRNA from 1 species
GACGAACGCUGGCGGCGUGCUUAACACAUGCAAGUCGAACGGUGAUGACAGGGCUUGCUCUGUCUGAUCAGUGGCGAACGGGUGAGUAACACGUGAGCAACCUGCCCCUGACUCUGGGAUAACGACCGGAAACGGUCGCUAAUACCGGAUAUGAGACGUACAGGCAUCUGUUGCGUCUGGAAAGUUUUUCGGUCAGGGAUGGGCUCGCGGCCUAUCAGCUUGUUGGUGGGGUAACGGCCUACCAAGGCGGCGACGGGUAGCCGGCCUGAGAGGGCGACCGGCCACACUGGGACUGAGACACGGCCCAGACUCCUACGGGAGGCAGCAGUGGGGAAUAUUGCACAAUGGGCGCAAGCCUGAUGCAGCGACGCCGCGUGAGGGAAGACGGCCUUCGGGUUGUAAACCUCUUUCAGCAGGGAAGAAGCGCAAGUGACGGUACCUGCAGAAGAAGCGCCGGCUAACUACGUGCCAGCCGCCGCCGUAAAAC